rnacentral:misc_RNA from 1 species
UUUUGAAGGACCUCAUCAAACAGUUUCUAUAUUAACCAUAAUAGUAAAAACUUAAACAAAAGUUCCCAUGUUUCCUGAGACAUUUGUAUAAUGCAUUGAAUUUAUGUUGAUGCUGCUCGCCAUAAUAUUAUUCCAGCAGGCUCUCCAAAUAGAUAAUUUAGUACAUAAUGGAGUUCUCUACCAUAGAGCAUUUAACCUUAUAUGCUCAAAAAUGAGAGGGGAAAAAGAGGACCUUUGAAGACAAAAUUGAACCACUACAAUGUGCUCCAUUGAAAAUAACUGGAAAUAAAUACAGCAAAAGCCAGUGAAAAAAACUUGAUUGCAUCAUUUGGCUGCAAGUGAAAGUACCAAAAAAUGAAAACAAAAAAAAUGGUCUAUCCAAAGUCGAAAUACAAUUGGCCUUCAAGAUUGCCGUUUUAUAGACACUGACAUAUUUCAGCAAUAUAAACUCUAUAGCACUGUUAUCAAAGGCGCGCCUCAGGCGCAAGGCGCACCCCCAGGGGCCUCGGGGCAGCUGAGGCGCAAGACCUCACUGAGGCGCACCGAGGCGCACCGAGGCGCGAGGCGUACCGAGGCGCCCCCCAAUGAGGCAAGGCACAUUAUAAAAUGGUGGGCUGCUAGGGUUUUUUUUUUUUUAACUUGUCCAGCAGCCAACAGCCAGCAAAAAGA